CACUCGCCACUUUGGCUUUCCACCGGCCUUGAAGGGCAGGCUGUCGCCAGGGGUGCCCUGGGGAGGGACCGACUGGAAUUCUUCCUUCUCCUCUGACUCCGAGCCCAUCUCUACCCUGCUUCGGUGGUGGGCCUGGUUUCCCCUGCUGGCUGGGCUUCCGCAAACUCUCUGUCUUCAGUGAGUGUCGCCCAGUUGUGCUUCCCCCAGUCCUGGCAAGUCAGGCUGGGGCAGGCUCGUCAUCUUCCUUGGAUCUGCAGCCCCCUUCACGGCCCUGUCUGCCUGCUUUCUGAUGCACAGGAUAUAUUUGGAGAAAGCUGUUGCUCCAUGACUAUACAUCUGUCAAGGCUGUGGCUUCACUGUGUCCUGUGUCCUGCUGCCCCGAGCUGGCCAGGAUGCUCAUGACCCGUGUAUGAGCUCAACUUCAUACCUUAGGGCCUCAAGCUUCCCCCAACACGUUUGUCUGAGGUUGAAUUCCAUGUAGGUACUCUUUGGCUGGGUAAUGUCCCAUUAUCAGGCGGGUAUAUCUUGCGGCUUAUA